rnacentral:rRNA from 1 species
CCUACGGGUGGCAGCAGUGAGGAAUAUUGGUCAAUGGCCGAGAGGCUGAACCAGCCAAGUCGCGUGAGGGAUGACGGCCCUACGGGUUGUAAACCUCUUUUGUCGGGGAGCAAAGCGAGUCAUGUGUGCCCUAUUGAAAGUACCCGAUGAAAAAGGAUCGGCUAACUCCGUGCCAGCAGCCGCGGUAAUACGGAGGAUGCGAGCGUUAUCCGGAUUUAUUGGGUUUAAAGGGUGCGUAGGUGGAGGUGCAGGUCAGUGGGAAAAUUGUGGGGCUCAACCCCGUACUGCCGUUGAAACUGGGGGCCUUGAGUACGGGAGAAGUAUGCGGAAUGCGUGGUGUAGCGGUGAAAUGCAUAGAUAUCACGCAGAACUCCGAUUGCGAAGGCAGCAUACCGGCCCGCAACUGACGCUGAGGCACGAAAGCGUGGGUAUCGAACAGGAUUAGAUACCCCUGUAGUC